rnacentral:rRNA from 1 species
UACGGGGGGAGCAAGCGUUGUUCGGAUUUACUGGGCGUAAAGGGCGCGUAGGCGGCCACCGCAAGUCGACUGUGAAAUCUCCGGGCUUAACCCGGAAAGGUCAGCCGAUACUGCGGGGCUAGAGUGCAGAAGGGGCAACUGGAAUUCUCGGUGUAGCGGUGAAAUGCGUAGAUAUCAGGAAGAACACCGGUGGCGAAGGCGGGUCUCUGGGCAGUAACUGACGCUGAGGAGCGAAAGCGUGGGGAGCGAACAGG